rnacentral:rRNA from 1 species
UACAGAGGGUGCGAGCGUUAAUCGGAAUUACUGGGCGUAAAGGGCUCGUAGGUGGCCAACUAAGUCAGACGUGAAAUCCCUCGGCUUAACCGGGGAACUGCGUCUGAUACUGGAUGGCUUGAGAUUGGGAGAGGGAUGCGGAAUUCCAGGUGUAGCGGUGGAAUGCGUAGAGAUCAGGAGGAAUACCGAUGGCGAAGGCAGGUCUCUGGGCUGAUACUGACGCUCAGGCACGAAAGCGUGGGGAUCAAACAGG